CUCUCUAGGGAGUAGAGUCUUAGCUGUUUCAGGCUUUCCCAGUAGCUGAGCAGUUGCAAAGAGACAAUCUUCUUUGUGAAUCUCCUCUGGAUUGCUUCAAGGUCUGCUGUUAAUUUCAGACUGGUAGGUGAGCACAGCUGUGAGCACUAAUCCAGGCGGCUGAGGACGAAUGUCCUCCAGAGGAUCAUCAUGGUUUCCUUAUCUCUGGUUCUGAAUGUUCUCAGGAUCCAUCCAGCCAAUCGUCUGCACUUUGUUGCCAUUCUGGUCUCUCACUGAUUUAGGCUCUGGGAUUGAAAUUC